UUUACCUUCUCUUUAAUCUUAAUCAGGGACUACUUAUGGUUGUUACCUUACCCUUGGAGUGAAAUAAUCUAAACAGUUAAACCAUUUUCCUUUUAUUAACACAGUAUUAGGAAUUAGGUUUCCCCCAGUAGCCAUUAACAUUCCCAGUAUCCCACCUUCCAGAAUAAUGGAGUGGAUGAUAUAAUGCAAUCAACUGUGUUAAUAAAUUGAUAUUUUUCUCCAAGGAAAUGGUUCUCAUCGUUUGAAAUGUAAAGCUUCUCAAGAAAGCCUUAGAGUCACAGCAAGAAGACUCCAUGGUGCUGGAGGUAACAUCCAGAUGCACGAGAUUGAGCCAGAUGCACCAGGUGCUGUGAGGACUUCAAGCCAGAGAGUGUGGACUCAUCUAUCAAGGAAGAAAAUUUAUAAGUGGCCAUCCAGGAAUCAUUUGCUGUUUCAAAUAGAGAACUGUGCGAUGAUGAGAAAGAGUUCAUACAUUUUCCAGUAUGUGAGGGGACCUCUCAACCUGAACCCUCAUGUUCAGCUGUCAGAAUAACAGCCAGUAAAAACUACAGGAGCAAAACCUCUCAGGAAGGUGCUUUUAAAAAGAUGCAUGAGGAAGAACACCAUCAACAAUGUCCAUCUUACAACUGCAACUGAUACAAAUGAAUGAGGGGAGGAUACAGCAAGAAGGUGGCUGUCUGUAAACAGAAAGUGGGCCCUCACCAGACACUGAAUAUGCCAGUACUUGGAUCUUGAACUUCCCAGCCUCCAGAAUUGUGAGAAAUAAAUGUUUCUUGUUUAAGGCA